AACAGAACCCCCAAGCGUUACCCGGAUUUAUUGGGCGUAAAGCGUCUGUAGCCGGUUUGGCAAGUCUGGAGUUAAAUGCUGAGAGCUCAACUUUCAGAAUGCUUCAGAAACUGCCAAACUAGAGGGCGUUAGGGGCUGAUGGAACGCACGGUGGAGGGGUGAAAUCCGUUGAUAUCGUGCGGAACACCAAAAGCGAAGGCAUUCAGCUGGGGCGACCCUGACGGUGAGAGACGAAAGCGUGGGGAGCAAACAGG
rnacentral:misc_RNA from 1 species